CCAAUAGCGUAUAUUAAAGUUGUUGCAGUUAAAAAGCUCGUAGUUGAAUUUUAGGCUUGGCCGGGCGGUCCGUCUUUGGCGAGUACUGUCCUGUGUCGGGUCUUCCUUCUGGUGAACCAGUAUGUCCUUUAUUGGGUGUGCCGGGGAGCCAGGACCAUUACCUUGAAAAAAUUAGAGUGUUGAAAGCGGGCUAUUGCUUGAAUAGAUUAGCAUGGAAUAAUAGAAUAGGACGUUGUGGUUCUAUUUUGUUGGUUUCUAGGACCACCGUAAUGAUUAAUAGGGAUAGUUGGGGGCAUUAGUAUUCAAUUGUCAGAGGUGAAAUUCUUGGAUUUAUUGAAGACUAACUACUGCGAAAGCAUUUGCCAAGGAUGUUUUCAUUAAUCAAGAACGAAAGUUAGGGGAUCGAAGACGAUCAGAUACCGUCGUAGUCUUAACCAUAAACUAUGCCGACUAGGAAUCGGGCGACGUUAUUUUAAUGACUCGCUCGGCGCCUUAUG
rnacentral:rRNA from 1 species